AUCCAGCUGACGAGUCCCAAGUUGGGCGAGACAUGUGUCUUGGAU
rnacentral:hammerhead_ribozyme from 1 species